GUGUUGUAUGAAAGGAGAGCUGGUUAGCACUCCCCUUGACAAGGAUGGAAUAUAACACACAAUUUGGUAAGGCACAACUGCCAAGCAGUACUUACCACAUUUUUUUU